GUAACCUGAUCCAGUCUCUGGUCUUCUUGCACUGCCAAGCAGAUAUUACUCUGUCUACAGUUGACGGCCAGCCCAUCCCCACCUGGCUGAAUCUACACUACUCGUUACGGUUAUCUCAGCGGGCAGCGGAGCGGGGACGUCAGCUGACAGCCAUUUCCCAUGAUGCCCCAGGAGGAGCCGUCAAGCUGUCCAUCCAACUGUCAGGUGACCAGUGGUUCCCAUGGUUCCCCCCUCUGCCACUCCAUUGAGCUGAAAGGCUCUAUUAUCUGUGCGUGUUGGAGAGGGACUGCUCAGGCUUUGAUAAGCUAUCACUGGUCCCAGGUGAGCGCUGCCUAACAGCACAUCACAUCAGGACAAAACGACCCAGUGAUACCUGGCAACCAAACACACCCAGUUUUAUCACAUGUCCUCAACACUCAGCAGCACACAGGCUUGUGGUUAUAAAAGUACCUUGGUGAGUGCUUUAUAAACAUACAGAAUCCUUCUGGAAAGUAAACAAACAAUGCGUUUAUUUAUAUCUUCCUGAUAAAAACAUUUGAAUCAAAAUCUGUGGUGACAAAAUAUAUAAUUUCUGCCAAAUAAAUGUCACAACUUUCACAAAGGA